rnacentral:rRNA from 1 species
GAUCAUAAAGUCUUAAAAAAGAAUAGAUACGAUUGCAUUGCAUGUAUUAACGGAUGCGAUUAUACCAGCAUUAAUGCACUGGAUCCCAUCAGAAAUCUGUAGUUAAGCGUGCUUGGGCGAGAGUUGUACUAGGAUGGGUGACCUCCAGGAAAGUCCUCGUGUUGCAUUCCUC